rnacentral:rRNA from 1 species
UCAAGUGAAUAAGCGCACAUGGUGGAUGCCUAGGCGGUAGGAGGCGAUGAAGGACGUAGUAGUCUGCGAUAAGCCUCGGGGAGCCGACAAACUGGCUUUGAUCCGGGGAUUUCCGAAUGGGGAAACCCACUGCUUCGGCAGUAUCCCUGACUGAAUACAUAGGUCAGUGGAAGCGAACCUGGGGAACUGAAACAUCUAAGUACCCAGAGGAAAAGAAAUCAAUUGAGAUUCCCUUAGUAGCGGCGAGCGAACGGGGAUUAGCCCAGUAAACAUAAAGCAAUGAAUCCUAGCAAAGCGGUCUGGAAAGUCCGGCCAUAGAAGGUGAUAGCCCUGUAUGCGAAAGGUGAAGUUGUGGGUUUACAAAGAGUAGGACGGGACACGUGUUAUCCUGUUUGAAUAUGGGGGGACCAUCCUCCAAGGCUAAAUACUCCCUACCGACCGAUAGUGAACUAGUACCGUGAGGGAAAGGCGAAAAGAACCCCGGAGAGGGGAGUGAAAUAGAACCUGAAACCGUGUGCGUACAAGCAGUGAGAGCCCCUUCGUGGGGUGAUUGCGUACCUUUUGUAUAAUGGGUCAGCGAGUUGCUUUCAGUGGCAAGCUUAACCGUAUAGGGGAGGCGUAGGGAAACCGAGUCUUAAAUGGGCGCCGUAGUCGCUGGGAGCAGACCCGAAACCGGGCGAUCUAUCCAUGGCCAGGGUGAAGGUGAGGUAAUACUUACUGGAGGCCCGAACCGGGUAAUGUUGAAAAAUUAUCGGAUGAGCUGUGGAUCGGAGUGAAAGGCUAAUCAAGCCCGGAGAUAGCUGGUUCUCCUCGAAAGCUAUUUAGGUAGCGCCUCGUGUAUCACUCUUGGGGGUAGAGCACUGUUUCGGCUAGGGGGUCAUCCCGACUUACCAAACCGAUGCAAACUCCGAAUACCAAGAAGUGCAAUCACGGGAGACACACGGCGGGUGCUAACGUCCGUCGUGGAAAGGGAAACAACCCAGACCGCCAGCUAAGGUCCCUAAAUCACAACUAAGUGGGAAACGAUGUGGGAAGGCUUAGACAGCCAGGAGGUUGGCUUAGAAGCAGCCACCUUUUAAAGAAAGCGUAAUAGCUCACUGGUCUAGUCGGCCUGCGCGGAAGAUUUAACGGGGCUAAGUUGUGUACCGAAGCUGCGGAUGCAUAGUUUACUAUGCAUGGUAGAGGAGCGUUCUGUAAGCCUGUGAAGGUGUGCUGUGAGGCAUGCUGGAGGUAUCAGAAGUGCGAAUGCUGACAUGAGUAACGAUAAUGCGGGUGAAAAACCCGCACGCCGAAAACCCAAGGUUUCCUGCGCAACGUUAAUCGGCGCAGGGUGAGUCGGCCCCUAAGGCGAGACCGAAAGGUGUAGUCGAUGGGAAGCAGGUUAAAAUUCCUGCACCUCGCUUUACUGCGAUGGGGGGACGGAGAAGGGUAGGUCAUCAGGGCGUUGGUUGUCCCUGUUCAAGCACGUAGGGAGUGUUCUUAGGUAAAUCCGGGAGCACAAUCCUGAGGUGUGAUGACGAGAUUCCUUUUGGAGUCGAAGUGAUUGAUCCCAUGCUUCCAAGAAAAGCCUCUAAGCUUCAGGUAAAGAGAGACCGUACCGUAAACCGACACAGGUGGGUGAGGAGAGAAUCCUAAGGCGCUUGAGAGAACUCGGGUGAAGGAACUAGGCAAAUUGGUACCGUAACUUCGGGAGAAGGUACGCCCCUGAUGGUGAUAGAACUUGCUUCUUAAGCUGUUAGGGGUUGCAGUGACCAGGUGGCUGCGACUGUUUACUAAAAACACAGCACUCUGCAAACACGAAAGUGGAAGUAUAGGGUGUGACGCCUGCCCGGUGCCGGAAGGUUAAUUGAUGGGGUUAGCGUAAGCGAAGCUCUUGAUCGAAGCCCCGGUAAACGGCGGCCGUAACUAUAACGGUCCUAAGGUAGCGAAAUUCCUUGUC